rnacentral:rRNA from 1 species
UAGUGAGUGGCGGAACGGGUGAGUAACACGUGAGUAACCUGCCCUCUUCUUUGGGAUAACGCCCGGAAACGGGUGCUAAUACUGGAUAUUCACUGAUCUUCGCAUGGGGGUUGGUGGAAAGGUUUUUUCUGGUGGGGGAUGGGCUCGCGGCCUAUCAGCUUGUUGGUGGGGUGAUGGCCUACCAAGGCUUUGACGGGUAGCCGGCCUGAGAGGGUGACCGGUCACAUUGGGACUGAGAUACGGCCCAG